UUUAACACAUAGAUAACGUUCUUCGUCAAUGGUAGAGUAAAAAGGGUGAGCUCUUUGACUGUUUAUCGAUUAAGUUCAUGCACAGACCAAUUCUCAAUGCUGACCGGGAUGAUCAGCUGGGUUCAGCUGAUGGAUGAAAAGAACAACCAUCCAAGGGAGCAUGAAGCGGCGAGUGCCCGCCUCUAUUUUUGAGAAAUGUGUAUGUAUCAGCAGAUUGACAACGCAACAAGAGCGAAGCCACCCACAAGAGGUUCAUGGUACUACUUGGUUCUCAGGUUUUUUUCUCAGACUGCUUGCUCCUUCGUCAUUCCUAGGCAGCCUUGUCGAUGAGCUCCCUGUGGAUGUGGGGGAUGACGCCGCCGCCGGCGAUAGUGGCCUUGAUCAGGGUGUCCAGCUCCUCGUCCCCGCGGACCGCCAGCUGGAGGUGCCGCGGGGUGAUGCGCUUCACCUUGAGGUCCCUGCACGCGUUCCCGGCCAGCUCCAUGAUCUCCGCCGUCAGGUACUUCAGGACGGCCGCCGCGUACACGGCCGCCGUCGCCCCCACCCGCUCGCCGGCCUGUGCGCUAUCCUUCAGGUGGCGGUGGAUGCGUUCCACAG
rnacentral:misc_RNA from 1 species